rnacentral:snRNA from 1 species
GGACUAGAGAGCCUCAUAAGCAA